rnacentral:rRNA from 1 species
ACAGCAGCAGCCACGGUAAUACGAAGGGGGCUAGCGUUGUUCGGAUUUACUGGGCGUAAAGGGUGCGUAGGCGGACUGAUAAGUCGGGGGUGAAAUCCCAAGGCUCAACCUUGGAACUGCCUUUGAUACUGUUAGUCUUGAGUUCGAGAGAGGUGAGUGGAACUGCGAGUGUAGAGGUGAAAUUCGUAGAUAUUCGCAAGAACACCAGUGGCGAAGGCAGCUCACUGGCUCGAAACUGACGCUGAGGCACGAAAGCGUGGGGAGCAAACAGGAUUAGAUACCCCAGUAGUCCCUGUCUCUUAUAC